GCAGAGCAAUUCGUAUACCUGCCCGCCUUACUCUCCUCUUUUCUCGAGCUCCUUCACAAUGGCCUUGCGAUCUCGAAUCGAAGCCAUCGUCUCCGCCGUCGUCACCGUCCACCCGCACGAGAUCCCCGCCCUCGUCCGCUCCUCCUCCUGCUUCUUCUUCAUCCUCAGCGCGUACUUCGUGAUCUUGCCUCUGCGUGACGAUGGUGCUAUCUCUCUGGGCUUGUCCAAUUUGCCAGGCCUCUUCGUCGGCUCCCUCCUCCUCACCCUUGUCGCCGCCCCAAUCUCCACCCUCGUCUUCUCCCUGCCCAAUCUAUCUAAAUCCAAGGCUUUGGUCUAUAUUCACAGAUUCUUUAGUUUAUCCCUUGUUUUAUUCUUUGUUCUCUGGUAUGCUUCCUCGGCCGGGAAUUCUCCUUCUUCUGCUGUUCCAAAGGAGGGGGCACAUGAAGAUGAUGCUCGAGAUGGCCCUUAUUCAUUAGGCUGGGGUAGCCAUGGGUGGUUUUAUAUUUUAGUAAGGAUAGGCUUGUUCUUGUGGGUUGCCUUGCUUAAUCUUGUGACAAUUUCUUCAACUUGGGCUAGAGUGAUUGAUGUUAUGGACAAUGAGUCAGGUUCAAGAUUGUUUGGGUUUGUUGGUGCUGGUGCAACCCUUGGACAGCUCUUCGGCUCACUCUUUGCUGCAGGAAUGGCUUGGCUUGGACCAUUUCUACUACUCUUUUCUGCUCUUUUAAUGGAGCUCGCGGCACAAUCAGCAAAAGGUAUCGAUCAUGAUGCUUCCAAUGAUGAUAAAGAAUUAUCUCCUAUGAGAGAUGAUAAUCAAGAUCAACAUGAUGAAGCAGAUGAUAAGACAAGGUCUGGCCUUGUAGAGCAGUCUUCUAAAUCAACCACACAGGCAUCGAAUGCUCCGAUGUUCAUCAUGUUAGAAGGGCUAUGGCUGAUAAUCUCAUCAACGUACCUCUUGUUUGUAUCACUAUUUCUUUGGCUGAGUGCAGUUGUAUCUUCUUUCUUUUAUUUUCAGAAAGUGACAAUCAUUGCAACUACUGUAUCUGAUCCUGUUAUCAGAAGAAGAUUGUUUGCCUUGAUAAACAGCUUUACUGCUGUCUUUAUCCUUGCUGGACAACUUACUUUAACGGGUCGAAUACUCACUGUUGCUGGUGUUACCGUUGCUAUUUGUGCAUCACCUCUUGUUGCCUUCUCAAAUAUGGUCGCCCUUGCAAUCUGGCCAACAUGGAUCGCUGUGGCUGUCUCUGAGACCCUUAGAAAGGUGACUACAUAUGUUGUAACAAGACCGGGAAGAGAACUAUUAUUCACAGUGGUCUCACAGGAGGAGAAGUACAAGGCGAAGGUGUGCAUAGAUGUUAUUGUUCAAAGGCUAGGAGAUGCAGCGGCAGCUGGGAUAUAUAAACUGCUAUCCAACAGCCUUAAUAAGAGGGCAUCCAUUGUUUCCGUAUGUGCAUUACCAUUAUGCUUAUUGUGGAUAAUCACAGCAAUUCAUCUUGGAAGACGCCAAGCCAAUCUUGUCAAGCUACAGGUUUAUUGAAUGCAAUUUAAUUUUUUCUGAAAGAUAAUGGAGUGAUUAAAAGAUGAUAGUGUACACAAAGAUGCUUGAGUGAUAACUCCAAAGAAGUCAACUGUAAACCAUAAUUCGAUCAGAAGUCUUCACCAGUAAACUUAGGCACAAAAACAGCGCAGAAAUAUGAAAGGGCGCUGGUGAAAGCAAUGCAUGUCUGAUUGGGGUAUGCUCCUGUGUAUUUUGCCUUUCUCUUUCAUUUUCUAUCCUUCUUUUCAUUGAAUUAUAUAUGGUACAAGUUAGCUGUCUCUUUGAAGAGUUUAUUGGGUACACUUGAAAACCUUAUUAAAAGUGAUGAUUAAGAAAGCAGUAGCAUUUUGC